rnacentral:lncRNA from 1 species
CUGCAUUCCAGCUGGCAAUCUCCUUGGGUGCCUAUAACCUCCUGGGGUGUUUGGGCAAGGCCACUCAGCUGUAUCAGGAUAGGAGACAGCAACCCAGUUUCAGCUUAAGGUAGUGAGGUCCAGGGGUAACCAGGCAGAUCCACUGCUUAGGAAAGGUCAUACUUCCUAACCCAGCCCUACCAAGCUGAUCUUUCCAUAGGCCCCAGUGGACAACUAGCUUGCUUGGUUAAUCAGAGCUCAUCAUGCCCAGCCACAUCCUGGGAAGAAGGUGCUCAGAACUUUCUGGGAAUGGGGCUUAGUCUGGGACAGGUCAGAGACCAGGGAGAAAACGGUCUGCAAGUCCCUUCUUACUUGGGUCUGGUGCCAGGUCUGCCAUCUUGUUAUUGCCUUCAGUAGGAACUUGAGUUAAGAUACCCAGAAAUGGGGUCUCCUCUGCCCCUGAAAGCAUACUUUCCAUGGGAGGGCUGAGCCUAGGGCACCCUGGCAUAGAGGGCCAGCUGAAGACUGGCAGCCUCUGAGCAUCCCCACUCUUCCCACCUCACCAGGACAGGACAGCUCAGCAAGGUGGAGUCUGGGAUGCACUGCGGAUGGGCCUAGCCUGACUUCCUCCCAUCCCCAUAGCCCACUUCAU